rnacentral:rRNA from 1 species
UUGGUUUGGUUUGUGCGGUCACUUUUUCUCCUCUCUGGCGACUCACUUCCCCACACAGAACACCCGGAGCCGCCCGGAAAAUUUAGCUGCGUGUAGGCUAUUCGUACCCACCAGCGAGGAAUAGUUAACUGUGCCCACGGCACAUUAAGCUCCGCUGAUCGGGAUCGCUCUUCGCUCGCUCUCCCACCCCGCCGCCGGUCGCCGACCUGGACCCCGUUCCGUCGCUCGUGCGGCGCACGUGCUCAACUCCUGAACUCCAUAAAGAAGCCAUCCACAUAAGACGAAAGUAACAUUGUACCUAGGAUGCCUCGUCAUCAAUAUAAUUAAAAUCGAUUCGGAUACUUAACGAUCCUAAAGCGUAGAUCGAGAGAAGGGGCACAAUAGCUGAGGCGGGCAGGGUUCCAAGAGGGAUCCAGGAGGCGGCGACCCGCCGGUGCAGCAGCGGCUCCGUGACCAUUUGGACACCAAGAAACCAAUCAAGUUAUACCUCCCCUGAGACCAAGUCAGACGGUAACGAGGAUGGCGGAUGUCCUCAUCGAGAUGCGCCAGGGCACACGCGUGUUCCCGGUGUUACAAUGCGUCAUGCGGUUGCUCCUGGGAGUAAGAGCCCCCAAAAGUUCCUGACGCCGUUUGUUUAAAGGACCUAUGUUCCAGACAAUAGUUUGCACUGAAACCGAGGUAACAUCGUUCGGUCUAAAGUGCUGGUGCACCCAGUCCAAGUUCUUACCAACAGGCCCGGUACAAGCUCGCGAAAUGUCUCUUUCGUUAGUUCCACUAAUACGAACGUGUCCUCCUUCGUUCUGCGGAUCCGGUGUUGAAACAACCCUGACUUGUCUAAGACGAACCGGAAUAACCACUCCCUUGACCUUAACGUCGUUUCCAAGAUUUCAGAUACCCCUAGUCAGAAUUCCUACGGGCACACCUUCAACUUUUCUAAUAACCUUCUCCGUCACCCAAACAACGGCAACUUUAAGGUAAAUGUGGAGCACGUUUCGCACAUGAGCUUGACAGUGAACUUCUUCGAGCGGUCGAUCCCGUAUUGAUAUAUCCUAGACUCGUGAAUGAGAAUCCCGAUGAAGCACUCCCACUUCCACACCGUCGAGCUCAAGAGCUUUCGGAACCACGACUAGGUUUGUUGUAAGCAUGGGUCCAAUAUUCUUACCAACCACUUUCGUGUCUUCGACAACCACGACCCCAACCACCCCCGUCGUCACCGGUCUUCUACGGAUGUGAACUCCUUAUGCCAUGAUUAAACUGUUUCGACCGUCUUCUCCCAUUUGAUCUGGGUCAACAACCGUCUGUCCUAGUUUAACUCGCACAUUGAGUUUAAAACCCGUCCGCCUGUUUCUUGUUGGGCACGAAUUAACCUCUCGGACCACAACCGUUCUGACGAUAACGUCUCCCCGAACGUGUUGCAUAAACAUUACCACUACAAGGCCUUUGUUAACUUCCUUUCUUCCAAUAGUGGGAACUGUACCCCGAGGAACAACGACCAUGGUUCAUGGCACCUCUCAAACUUCUUUCCGACUUCUUCGAAUACCUUCUUUAAUUCGUUUUACUACUAUAAUAUGAAAAAUAACUACUUCACGUGUGCAACUAGCCUCGUCCACGUCGACUUCCACGUUAACUACGACGAUUGUAGAAUUUUGGUCGAGAACGUUCUCCACUUGACGUCACGUAACCACGGUGUUGUGACCUACUCAUGUCCUUUGUAUAACUCUUUCUAGGACGAAACCUCGCUUCCAAAGUUGGUCAGUUCCAAGGUCUCGGGUGACAACUUCUUAGUUAUGUUUAGAAUUCUCCUGAAGCACUCUCUAUACUUGAAGUAGUAUUCGACGCUAUGUGUCUACUACGAAAUCAACGACGACGCGUCAAUAGUAUAGUCAUAUAGUCACUGGCGAAGGACGGACUGUUCCGAUAACUGAACUAGCUACUUCGCCCCAGGGCACAAUCCGACUCCGUACGUGUCGAUGGACUACUCCGGUUCCUCGACCUGUUUUUUGAAGCGGUUUAUUGUUUCCUGUUCUUACUCCGACACGCACCGGUUCUAAAACUCUUCCGGCCCCUUAAUUCUCUGCUCCUUUACCUCGACUUCCGGGUUUAAUGUCGGUAAUAACUGUUCUCGUUCCUUUACCAAUUUCGUCUCUGACUUAGGCCACUUCAACCGGGAGAACAGUGUCUCCGUCUAUAAGUUGUGUAGCAGAGUAGUACCUGACCAUAUGGACACCUCUUUCAGAGUAGACUACUCAGACUGGCGGAUGAAUUCUACCUUCUCUGAGAGGUAUGUGCAUAGUAACCCGUCCUACUUCGACAGUUUCGAUAAUCGGCACGAUAGGCGGCACGAGCACAACCGGAGUUCUUAGGUUUAGCCGGGUAACGAUCGAAGUAUAAGAGACCUGGUUGACCACAACCAUUUAGUCUUAAUCGUUUCCGAGACCGUAGGAUGAUGAAACCGAGUCUCCUUCGGUACUAGUCUAAUCUAUACUCACUCAAGUACCUCUCUGUAUGCCAGAGGUUUGAGUAGCCUAGUGGAGGUCCAAUACAACCGAUGUGACUCCCUCCAGUUGAUUGUCUUCGUCAGGCGGCGGCAGGUAUGUGUCAACAAGAGAAACUACUCUAACUUUUCCGUGUAGGUCUACAGAAGUUGUACUACGAAGUCUAGAAUCUUCUACCCUCCGACUGUCUAUCGUUCCCUGCCUGUCAACUAAAGUUCUUGUGUGACAACUAGUACUGUAGCUUACAGCCUUCGUCACAGUAGCUCUUCCCUCCGGCCUUCUAACCCAAACUGGAACUGAGACUGCUCUUUCUAUGGUCGAUAUUGUCCUAGUUCUCGAACCACUGGCUCCUCAACUUCGUCAUAAAGGCCGGACUCAAGAACUUGUCUAACCUACUCUACUAACACAAGGCCGUCAACUGUUUCAACCUCCACUUUCUCUAGCGACUAUAAUACGAGUUCCUCCACAAACUAUCCGAGUUCCGUUUCCUUUAGCUGGAGGUCCAUUGUCUCUUCAAGGCCCUAUCCCAACAACUACUUCCAAUGUUGGGCUCGAUGCCACGGUCCGGAGACGCUGCGCGGUAAUACUCCGAAAACCUUCUGUCAGACCGACUUUUCUACGACCGACCGCUCCAGUUCCUUCCACUAAGACGAUAACAACUACACCUAAGCCUACCAUUCCACCAUCAAGAGUUGUCGCCCCCACCAUAACGUCUCGGCGACCUCGGACGAGACUCACGGAUCAACCCAUGUGGUAGAAAAAUAAAGCAAUAGAGUCGUACCCCAGGACCACUACCAUGGAUCUAAUUAUAGUGACGGGAAAGUCAAUACACAAGAGAAGGAAAAAACAGAGAGGAGAAAGUGAGAGAACUUCAAGCUUCAAACUUCGCUCCGUGAUCUUUAACAAUACAUUUGCUUUGUUUGUAUCUACGUACAUGCUCGUUCGACAUACGGUCAUAUAGAAAACUCAAGACAAAAGAAAAAAGAAAAACUCCCAUCAACGAGACAAAGACUUCUUGUCAACUUCCGAAGUAAAUGGACGUGAAUGAACGAAACAUGACAUGAGGGAGGAAGGUACUUAUUCACAUAGAGAUCGAAAACAGUAUUCAGUUUCAAAAUUUUAAAACUGGUUGAAAUAUCCCUUUUCAUCGUCGUAAAUACCGUGAUGUAAUCAUAGUGAUCUAGGCAAAACUUUACAUGAAAGUG